rfam:Lactobacillus iners DSM 13335 genomic scaffold SCAFFOLD2, whole genome shotgun sequence.
AAUACCUUUAAAUUGGUCCUGUGAGGCCAAGAAGGAGCUUUGCUUUUAUAUUAUGAUAAUCACCGUUGAAUGCAAAACCAUCUUGGACUCAGUCUAAGAUGGUUUUUUAG